CUUCAGUGAUGAUACGAUGACUAGUCGGAACCGGACACUGUCUGUCUGUGGUCACUGGGUCAGGGUCACGUUCUGUGUCUCUAAGUUCAGUUUCCCACAACAGCGUGUUCUUCACUUGAAGACAUCGAGGCAUUUGUCUGAGAAGG